UCAGGUCAAGCCCAGCAGGUUCCAGGGUGUUGCGUAAGAAACGCUUUUGGACAGCUGAAGAGGAGGAAAUUCUGAAGGAGGGAGUGCAGAAGUUUUCUGGUACAGUAGCAAAAAAUCUCCCAUGGAGGAAGAUAUUGGAGCAUGGUCGUCAUGUCUUUGAUGAAACUCGCACCCCAGCUGACCUCAAGAAUAAAUGGAGGAAAAUAUUGGUUAAAGAAGGUACCAUAGAAAAACCGAAGUAAUUUCAGUUUCCUAUUUUGAGUGGAAGGAGAUUUUAAAUGGACCAGGGAUGGGGUGUUCAUUUGAUGG